rnacentral:rRNA from 1 species
UCAGGCCUAACACAUGCAAGUCGAACGGCAGCACGGACUUCGGUCUGGUGGCGAGUGGCGAACGGGUGAGUAAUGUAUCGGAACGUGCCUAGUAGCGGGGGGUAACUACUCGAAAGAGUAGCUAAUACCGCAUACGCCCUACGGGGGAAAGGGGGGGAUCGCAAGACCUCUCACUAUUAGAGCGGCCGAUAUCGGAUUAGCUAGUUGGUGAGGUAAAGGCUCACCAAGGCGACGAUCCGUAGCUGGUUUGAGAGGACGACCAGCCACACUGGGACUGAGACACGGCCCAGACUCCUACGGGAGGCAGCAGUGGGGAAUUUUGGACAAUGGGGGCAACCCUGAUCCAGCCAUUCCGCGUGUGCGAUGAAGGCCUUCGGGUUGUAAAGCACUUUUGGCAGGAAAGAAAUCGCACGGGUUAAUAACCCGUGUGGAUGAC